rnacentral:misc_RNA from 1 species
GUGAAUCAUCAAAUUUUUGAACGCAAAUUGCACUCCCUGGUAUUCCGGGGAGUAUGCCUGUUUGAGGGUCGUUAGAAUAAAAAAUCGAUGCGUCGCUCUUUUUUUUAAAGGUGAUCGCGGCGGAAUUGAGCCGUCCUUCCAAUGAUAAUUAAUUUCAAAGUUGCUUGAAAUUCAUCCAUACCGUAUGAUUGAAGCGGU